CUUGCAAUUUCCAGUCCAAAGAUUUAUAAUGCAUCCGCUGUGAUUACAGUGAUGAUUCUGAACGUUAUGCAAAAUAAACGUUUUGGACUGGGGGGCGGUACCCCACAGCUCCACCAAUAUUUUUCUUAUGGGGCUGACAUAGUUUCGACAGACGCAGUAAAGGCAAUAACUUGAAUCCGACACGGUUGUCGUAAAACACCAAAUAAAAACUGAAUGGCGAUAGAAUCGCUGCGAACGACAAUGUUCGCCUUGCAAUGGCUGCUUAAUACAAGCAUUUGAUAUAAUUGGCAAUUGUUGAUUAUAUCUGUUUAGCUUUUGCGGGGUUGGUCGGGUACCUGGCACCAGAAACCC
rnacentral:tmRNA from 1 species